AUUCGUACCUGGGACUUUGUUACAUGGCUUGGUUUUGUGGCGUCAGUUCACAACAAGUGCGCGAGCGCAGGUGGUGAUGGCGACAACAAACGGAUCGCCGGAAGGUAAGCCUCGUUAGGUUAGGCAGGACCAUAACAGGAGGAUGGCUAGCCAGGCCGGCACUCAAGCUGUGCUGUCUCUGCCGUCCGAAACCAACGACGGACGGGCGCCCACACCUCCACCCGAAGUUCCGGAGAACGGGUUCAACACCAUGCGGCUGGUCUUCUACACAGCUCCAGCCAUCAUGUGCGCUUUGUUAUUAGUCGUUGCCAUUGGAGUCUGCGUCGUCGUUUUCAACAUUCCCGACCUGGGCUUCAUUCCGGGGCUGGGCAUCUACGAAAGGCGAGGACUGGUUGACCAGAACGACUUUCUGAACAGGACGGCUCUUAGAAACGUCUCGACCUCCGUGGAUACUACGGUGCUGAGCGGUGACGUCGUUUCGGGUAUCACAGUUGACGACAACAUAGAAAACAUGGAAGACGCGACAGGGACGGCUAUAUCACAGGACACGAAAGGUUUCAAGUCAGCAAAAACGACCCAAGGCGGUGGGCGCGCAGGGCCCCUCUACCAGUAACUAGAGUUCUUAGAUCGUUGAUACAUCAGGACACUGUGGUUGAGAGCAAUACGAAGUAUAUGGAGAUGAUAUCGUUGAAUGCAUGUACGUUUUCGUGGGAGCUGGAACCUAUACUGAGGGUUCUAUUGAGCAGCUUGUGCAAUGCUCGCGUUUUGCUGGUUUUCAAAGUACUGCAUCGCCUGGUUGAUAAGAAUGGGAUGAAAGUGAAACAACGGAGCUCCAUGUUCGUGGUUUGCGUGCAACAGUAGCUAUUAUGCGGACGACCAUGCGUAGAAUUAAACUCGUGAAAUAAAGUCCUACGUGAAGGCAGGAAAA